UUUCAGACAUUAAAAUAACCAAAGCAGAUUGAGCAUUUAACCCGUUGGUGAUGAAUUCAGUCUGUAAACGUUCAACCUGGUGGUGUUGUCUUUAAUGGUGCAACUAGUGAAGAAUGCAGGUGGGAAGAAAGGUUGUUUUCUUUCUUGACUGUGAUCUGGAAAUGUACAACCAGAGGAUCUCAAUAAAUGCUCCAAUGUGUGACCAGCUAAUUUUAUUAACAUCAGUUCUCUAUGAAAUGAUGCUGCAUUUACUCGGUAACAGAAUGAAGUGGCAUAAAUGAGAGGCGGUGGACACUAACCUGUGACUGAGAGAGAGGAGCUACCACCGAUGAAGACUGGUCAUUUGGGUUUCACAUUUCUCUGUGAAUGAACAGUUUUGAAAAACUAAGCCUCGUGUAUCUAUUCUCCUUUAAAAGUACUGCCUUCCUAAGGAAAACACCCUCAAUGUAUUCAUUUUGUUUCAGUUCUUUGUCUGGAGCUGUUGCUACAACUGCUUUAAUGAGAGACAAUUUUUUUUUCUGUCAUCCACAGUGUCUUUUGCAGCCCUCUUUUGAAUUAAUAAAACGCAUUUUCAAAGUGUUUUGUUGGACUUAGAAGUGCUCUUAUAAUCCUCCACAAAGUGAAACUAACCAUAACUUCAUGAACGAUUUAAUAAACUAGUAUCCAGUUAUUCCAAAGAGCCAUUUAUUCAUUUAUUAAGCCAAUUAUUAAGCCUUGAGACACGUAAUUACCUGGAAUUUAAGAGACUAUAUUCUCAUUGCUCUUACCAAAAACUAUCACCUCAAAUUUCACUUGCAAGUUACUGUCUGCCUAACUCAAGACAGUUAUUUGUGAUAACAAAGAAGUUUA
rnacentral:lncRNA from 10 species